CAGAUGGGAGCUUGCUCCCUGAUGUUAGCGGCGGACGGGUGAGUAACACGUGGGUAACCUGCCUGUAAGACUGGGAUAACUCCGGGAAACCGGGGCUAAUACCGGAUGGUUGUCUGAACCGCAUGGUUCAGACAUAAAAGGUGGCUUCGGCUACCACUUACAGAUGGACCCGCGGCGCAUUAGCUAGUUGGUGAGGUAACGGCUCACCAAGGCGACGAUGCGUAGCCGACCUGAGAGGGUGAUCGGCCACACUGGGACUGAGACACGGCCCAGACUCCUACGGGAGGCAGCAGUAGGGAAUCUUCCGCAAUGGACGAAAGUCUGACGGAGCAACGCCGCGUGAGUGAUGAAGGUUUUCGGAUCGUAAAGCUCUGUUGUUAGGGAAGAACAAGUGCCGUUCAAAUAGGGCGGCACCUUGACGGUACCUAACCAGAAAGCCACGGCUAACUACGUGCCAGCAGCCGCGGUAAUACGUAGGUGGCAAGCGUUGUCCGGAAUUAUUGGGCGUAAAGGGCUCGCAGGCGGUUUCUUAAGUCUGAUGUGAAAGCCCCCGGCUCAACCGGGGAGGGUCAUUGGAAACUGGGGAACUUGAGUGCAGAAGAGGAGAGUGGAAUUCCACGUGUAGCGGUGAAAUGCGUAGAGAUGUGGAGGAACACCAGUGGCGAAGGCGACUCUCUGGUCUGUAACUGACGCUGAGGAGCGAAAGCGUGGGGAGCGAACAGGAUUAGAUACCCUGGUAGUCCACGCCGUAAACGAUGAG
rnacentral:rRNA from 1 species